rnacentral:rRNA from 1 species
UACGUAGGGGGCUAGCGUUGUCCGGAAUUACUGGGCGUAAAGCGCGCGUAGGCGGUUUGGAAAGUCAGAUGUGAAAGCCGCGGGCUCAACUUGGGAACUGCAUUUGAUACUGCCAGACUAGAGUACAGAAGAGGUGACUGGAAUUCCCAGUGUAGCGGUGAAAUGCGUAGAUAUUGGGAGGAACACCAGAUGCGAAGGCGGGUCACUGGGCUGAUACUGACGCUGAGGCACGAAAGCGUGGGGAGCAAACAGG